rnacentral:lncRNA from 1 species
AUUAAAAGAUUUUUCUGCCUGCUCCAGUUCACAAGUGGCGGUGGAGAAAUGGAACCGUCAUUAUCAGAAGGUGCUGGUGGCAGUGCAGCGUGGCUGCCUUGGCCUCUAGGAAGUCAGCCCGACCCACCAAACUAGACACAAAUGGCCAGUCCCCGUUCCAUCUGGCAGCCUCCAAAGACCUGACAGAGUGUCUGACAAUACUGCUUGCAAAUGGGGCUGAUAUCAACAGCAAGAACGAGGACGGAAGCACAGCCCUUCAUUUGGCCACCAUCUUCUGUCAGCCACAGUAUGUGAAGGUCUUGCUUCAGCACGGUGCUAAUGAAGAUGCUGUGGAUGCAGAAAAUCGCAGUCCAUUACACUAGGCAGCCUCCUCUGGCUGUGCCUCAAGUGUCCUCCUGCUGUGUGACCACGAAGCCUUCCUGGAUGUGCUGGAUAAAGAUGGACGCACACCACUGAUGACUGCAUCGCUGGGUGGUCAUGCAGCUAUCUGCUCACAGCUGUUGCAGAGAGGUGCCCGAGUUAAUGUCACAGACAAUGAUGACAAAUCAACUUUGAUCCUGGCCUGUGAGAAGGGCAGCACUGAGGUGGCUGAGCUGCUCCUGAGCCAUGGAGCGGACGCUGGAGCGGUGGACAGCUUGGGACACAACGCUCUUCAUUAUGCUUUGCAUACGCAAGACAAGGAGCUGUGGAGGCUGCUACAGAAGGUCCUGAACCGACAGCGGAGAGGCGGUCAUGGACUGGUUCAACACCCAGAUCACCCAUCUCAGGCCUCUUCAUCUGAGACUCGGGUGGGAUUUCCUCCUAAGAGCUGAGCGGAUCCAAGAGCUGAAGAAGCAGCAGAAGGCACUGGCUACAAUAAACCCAACAUGAGUUCCCAAGAGAGCUGAAGACUUAGCCCCAGCAGAGAUCCAUCAUGAAGUACACAGAAAGUCCCAACCAGAGCAGGGGCUGCCCCAGGGCCCAAGUUCAGAGACCACCAGGAAAGCCACAGGACAGCAACCGAACACCAAUGGGGGGCAGGGGGAGGACAGAACCUUGGUCUCCAGAGCACUGAGCAGGUGUGUGCUGGUCAGAAGGAGAGGACCCCAGCUCCAGGGACUGAACCAGCAGGCACAGUGGGAGAGCCAGUGGGCAUAGCGGCAAUGAAUCAGCUCCUCCUACAGCUAAAGGAAGAGCUGGCUGCAGUGUGGCGAGAAAAGGAUGCUGCCAGAGGGGCUUUGUCAAGACCAGCUCUGGAGGGAGCCCUGGGGACUCCCAGAGCUGAGGCUGCAGCAGCUGCCUGGGAAAGGGUGGAAGCCAGGUUUGAGAGGGUGCUGGUAAGGUUAGAUGGAGCAAAGAUGGGACUGCAUGUGAACCUGAGGUCCCUGUCCAGGGGUCAGUCCCAGGAUGCUCUAAAGAGCAGGAAGAAAAUAAGGCUCCUGGAAUCAGAGGAGAGCCCUUAGGGGCCUCUGGAAGAGAACAGGACUGGGGAGAGGCUUGGCAAAGGGACAGCUGGAGAAAGAGGUGUCAGCUCUGAGACUGAGCAAUAGCAACUUGCUGAAGGAAUUGGGAAAGUUGGGGCGCGAGAGACAACGCUUGCAGGGAGAGCUGCAGUCCUUGACCCAGAGGCUACACCGGGAGUUUGUGCUCAAGCCGGAGGCACAGGUCCAGCUGUGCUACAGCAGUUGUGGAGGAGCGUGGGGAUGUUGACAGAGGAACUAGCCAUGGAGAAGGAGACCACAGAUAAACUACGCAGGCAACUGGCCUCCCAGACUAGCGGCCUCCAAGGACUGUGGAACUGCCUACCCUCAGACCUCGUGGACAAGGGGAAUACACAGAAUACAGCUGCAGAACCCCUGGAGGAGCUGCAGGCCUGUAUCAGCACCCUGGUGGAUCGGGACCUCGAGGCUCAAAGGAUGCUGGCUUGGUUGGAAGAGGAAAACCAGCAGCUGAGGGGAUCCUUAGCUCCCUGUGGGGAACCAGAGGCCUCCCUCAAGGCUACAGCAUUCCCGUAAGUGGCCGCCCUGGAGGAAGAUCUGGGGAAGCUAGAGGAAGAGCUACGGGGGCUGUGCAGGCCACGAUGAGUGGGAAGAGCCAGGAGAUCCGGGAGCUGAAACAGCUGCCCUACCAAACCAUGAAAGAAGUGGCCAAGCUGAGAGCUCAGGAAGCAGCCAGCCUGCGCCAGCACAAGAAGACUCGAGGCUCGCUGGUGGCCCAGCCCCAGGCUUGGGGCCAGGAGCUCAAAGUUGUGCUGGAGAAGUACAGCACAGCCUGUCGGGGGGGGGGGGGGGGAAGCGGGACACAGUGGUGGAGGAAUGUCGCCACAGCGAGGACCUGGCGGCUCCAGCGGCCCAGCAGGAGCACCAGGCUGGUGACGCACGGGUACUCGGAGCAGUUCGAGAAAACUGCUGAGCUCCUGAAAGAGAAGACAAACCACCUCAUCGGGGCUUGCCGGGACAAGGAGGCCAAGAUCAAGGAGCUGUUGAUGAAGAUAGAACAGCUUUCCGAAGAAGUUCUAGAAGUCCGGGGCGAGAAUGCUCACCUCGCCCUGCAGCUGCAGGAUUCCCAGAAGAACCACGAAGACAUCAUCUCCACCUACAGGAGUCAUCUACUGAAUGCUGCUCGGGGCUACAUGGAACAAGACGUCCACAACAUCCUACUUCGAAUCCUCAGCAUGCAGGAG